rnacentral:rRNA from 1 species
UACGUAGGGUGCGAGCGUUAAUCGGAAUUACUGGGCGUAAAGCGUGCGCAGGCGGUUUUGUAAGACCGAUGUGAAAGCCCCGGGCUCAACCUGGGAAUGGCAUUUGGGACUGCAAGGCUGGAGUUUGGCAGGGGAGACUGGAAUUCCUGGUGUAGCAGUGAAAUGCGUAGAUAUCAGGAGGAAUACCGAUGGCGAAGGCAGGUCUCUGGGCUAUAACUGACGCUCAUGCACGAAAGCGUGGGGAGCAAACAGG